GGCGAGGGAUAGGACACAGCACCUUCCUGGUUUUGAUAGCAGAUAUGAAGGAAUUUAAAUGUUUUUAAGGUUUUGCGAGGAUUUGAACGAACCUGUGCUGCGCAAAUGUCCUUCUGCCGGUAGAAAACUUCACGAAAAAGCGGUAUUAGCGGGCGAGUCAAAUCGGACAGUCAUGUUACGGACCCAGAAUCGCAACCCGCUUGUUGCUCAAUUUCUGGCAGAGAAGAAACGGCCAGCUCUUCUGCGGACCGAUGGGAGAAACAGGAGCGGAACUGUUUAUUGAACUGUGGCGCGACAGAACAGUGAUGGAAUCGGAGUACUAGCAGCAGCACUUUUCGUCAAGCAUUCGGCAGGAGCAGCGCGGCAGUGAUGCGUUCAUGUAAGCGCUCUUGGCCACCACAGCCGGAACAGUGAAAAAACCAGGAUUGUUGUAGAUAGGAUGGAAAAUAAGUUUUAUUUCGACUGUUCUUUAGCGAGAGUAAACACACAGUGAGCUCAGUUCAUCUGCUUGCGUCAAACCCAAUCAACUGCCACAAAAAAGUACCCGUCACAGAAAAUGCCUUACCACAGACAAACAGACGUGCAACUCUUUUUCAAACCAUCGCCAACUAAAACCGUCAUUUCAAAUUCAAAUCAGUCAAAAAAUGGAUGCCGUAGUACCGCAACAAGACACGAACGUCGUCGGUGGCGCCACCGUAUCCCUUGGCCCUUUGACGUUUCAGUGCAUCACCGUGUGUGUGUGCAAUGUUUUCUUUAUAGCCAACACGUGGGGAGAAAAUCCAAUGUUGCAUUGUUAAUUUGAUUUGGUUAACUGCGGUAGAUUUUCUUGAAAUAAUUCGAUAUGGUAGAAGUGUGACUUUCGGUCGAUGACAUAUUGACCAACGAUCUGUUGUUUGGUAAAGAGACUUGGAGGAGGAGACAAAGACACAACACUGGAGUUCAAGGCAGUCCAGAGUAGAUUAACUGAACAUUUUGAAAACAAGAUAUGUAAAAGAAUAAAUCAGUUUAACACAAUUUAA